ACGGGGUGCAGCAGGCGCGAAAACUUCGCAAUGUGGGAAACCACGACGAGGGAACUCCAAGUGCCUACGCUCAGCGCAGGCUGUUCUUGAGCCUAGAGAGCUUUAGGAGUAAGGGCUGGGUAAGACGGGUGCCAGCCGCCGCGGUAAUACCCGCAGCCCAAGUGGUGGCCGCUAUUAUUGGGCCUAAAGCGUCCGUAGCCGGCCCGGUAAAUGCCUGGUAAAUCGUGGGGCCUAACUCCACGAAUUCCGGGUAGACUGCCGAGCUCGGGCCCGGAAGAAGGAGAGGGUACUCCAGGGGUAGGGGUGAAAUCCUGUAAUCCUUGGAGGACCACCCGUGGCGAAGGCGCUCUCCUAAGACGGGUCCGACGGUGAGGGACGAAAGCCAGGGGAGCAAACCGGAUUAGAUACCCGGGUAGUCCUGGCCGUAAACGAUGUGGACUUGGUAUUCGAGUGGCCAUGAGCUGUUCGAGUGCCGUAGGGAAGCUGUUAAGUCCACCGCCUGGGGAGUAUGGUCGCAAGGCUGAAACUUAAAGGAAUUGGCGGGGGAGCAC
rnacentral:rRNA from 1 species